AACGUAGGUGGCGAGCGUUAUCCGGAUUCAUUGGGCGUAAAGAGCUUGUAGGCGGCGUCAUAAGUUGGACGUGAAAACUCCGGGCUUAACUUGGAGAGGCCGUUCAAUACUGUGAGGCUAGAGGGUGUCAGAGGGAAGUAGAAUUCCUGGUGUAGCAGUGAAAUGCGUAGAUAUCAGGAGGAAUACCCGUGGCGAAGGCGGCUUCCUGGCACCACUGACGCUGAGAAGCGAAAGCUAGGGGAGCAAACGGG
rnacentral:rRNA from 1 species